GGCGUGGCUACAGGUCGAGGCGGGACUUCCUGUCAGGCCGGAAAUAAUUCUAUCCAGUCCGGAAGUCAGCUCGCAAUCCGGCUCUUCGGGGGUCUUGAGGCUUACGGUCCGAGUGUCUGGUGGGGUCAGGGCGCUCAGUGAUCGCUAGACUGCUGCCUUGGUUCCCCUCUUAUUUUCCGGCUGGCGAUGGCGACCUACACCUGCAACACCUGCCGGGCGCUGUUGGACGACGCGGAGGCGCAGCGGGCCCACUACAAGACGGACUGGCACCGCUACAACCUGAGGCGCAAAGUGGCCGGCAUGGCCCCGGUCGCCGCCGAGGGCUUCCAGGAGCGGGUGCGGGCGCAGCGGGCCCUGGCGGAGCCGGAGAGCAAGGGCGCGGCCACCUACUGCACCGUCUGCAGUAAGAAGUUUGCCUCCUUCAAGGCCUACGAAAACCAUCUGAGGUCCCGGCGGCACGUGGAGCUGGAGAAGGAGGCGGUGAGUCGGAAAGUGGCGAUCCUGAAUGAAAAGAACUUGAAGGAAGGGCUGGGCGUGGACAGGGAUGCGGUGAACGCGGCCAUCCAGCAGGUUAUCAAGGCCCAGCCGUCCACGUCUCCCAAGAAGGCGGCCCCAGCGCCCGAGGCGGAGUCCCGGAGUCCAGUGACCGUGGCCGCUGGAGGACGUGGGACUCAGCAGCGAGACCCGGUCGAGAAGCCUCCCCGGUUGCAGUGGUUUGAACAGCAGGCGAAGAAGUUGGCCAAACAGCAGGGGGAGGAGGAGAGUGAGGACGACCUGGAUGCAGAUGAGUGGGAGGAUAUUGAUUCUGAUGAGGAACUGGAAUGUGAGGAUGCUGCAGCCCCGGAGGAGGAGGCAGCGGAGGAAGAGGCUGGAGGAAGCACCCCGCGUGGCGCCAUCCCCGUAACUGACUGCUUGUUUUGUCCCCAUCAUUCAAGCUCCCUCACGAAGAACGUGGCUCAUAUGACUAAAGUGCACAGCUUCUUUAUUCCUGAUGUAGAGUAUCUUUCCGAUCUUAAGGGACUGAUUAAAUAUUUGGGAGAGAAAGUUGGUGUGGGGAAGAUUUGCUUGUGGUGCAAUGAGAGGGGGAAGUCCUUCUACUCCACGGAAGCUGUACAGGCUCACAUGAAUGACAGGAGUCACUGCAAGCUCUUCACAGAUGGGGAUGCUCUUUUGGAAUUUGCAGACUUCUAUGAUUUUAGGAGUAGCUACCCAGAUCACAAGGAAGGGGAGGACCCUGAUGAGACUGAGGACUUGCCCUCAGAAAGGGCCUUGGAAUAUGAAGACGACACCAUGGAGCUGAUUCUCCCUUCUGGUGCCAGAGUGGGUCAUCGCUCCUUGAUGAGAUACUACAAACAGCGGUUUGGCUUGUCAAGAGCUGUGGCAGUUGCUAAGAAUCAGAAGGCUGUGGGCCGGGUCCUCCAGCAGUACAGAGCCCUGGGCUGGGCUGGCAGCACAGGAGCAGCUCUCGUGCGCCAGCGGGACAUGCAGUAUGUCCAAAGGAUGAAGUCCAAAUGGAUGCUGAAGAUGGGGAUGAAGAACAACGCCACCAAGCAGAUGCACUUCAGGCCCCAAGUGCUGUUCUGAGUCGGCCAGGGAUGGCGUCAUCAUCCGUCUCCUGCACAAGCGUCCUUGCCUGGGCACCCGUGGAAGCUGGAUCAGGUUGUGCGGUUGAUUAAAUCAGCAACGGAGCUGUCCCUCGCUCAGUCCGCAGCACAAAAGUGAGCUAUUGCAGUGCAGAAGGCCACAUGGAGGACCCUGAGACUUUCCCACUACGGUUGAGAGAAUAAAUAAAAAACAGUAUCACAUUCGGGAGGAACGGCAAGAAUAUCUGUCACCUCAACCACUCAACACGGCAAGGGUUGUGGUCCCAUCAUGCCCCCAUUGAAUUCAACACUCUGCCCCAUUUAAAACCAGGAUCUUGAUAAUUGAGAACAGACUUAGUGUAUCUAUUACCACCGCUAAAUAUCCAAACUGCCAACACAGAAUCC